GACGAAGGUCCGGGUUCUCUCGGAUUGACGGUAGGUGGAGAAGAAGCACCGGCCAACUACGUGCCAGCAGCUGCGGUAAUACGUAGGGUGCGAGCGUUGUCCGGAAUUACUGGGCGUAAAGAGCUCGUAGGUGGUUUGUCGCGUUGUUCGUGAAAUCUCACGGCUUAACUGUGAGCGUGCGGGCGAUACGGGCAGACUAGAGUACUGCAGGGGAGACUGGAAUUCCUGGUGUAGCGGUGGAAUGCGCAGAUAUCAGGAGGAACACCGGUGGCGAAGGCGGGUCUCUGGGCAGUAACUGACGCUGAGGAGCGAAAGCGUGGGGAGCGAACAGGAUUAGAUACCCUGGUAGUCCACGCCGUAAACGGUGGGUACUAGGUGUGGGUUUCCUUCCUUGGGAUCCGUGCCGUAGCUAACGCAUUAAGUACCCCGCCUGGGGAGUACGGCCGCAAGGCUAAAACUCAAAGGAAUUGACGGGGGCCCGCACAAGCGGCGGAGCAUGUGGAUUAAUUCGAUGCAACGCGAAGAACCUUACCUGGGUUUGACAUGCACAGGACGCGUCUAGAGAUAGGCGUUCCCUUGUGGCCUGUGUGCAGGUGGUGCAUGGCUGU
rnacentral:rRNA from 1 species